GACGAACGCUGGCGGCGUGCAUAAUACAUGCAAGUCGACCUUAGUGGCGAACGGGUGAGUAACACGUGGGUAACCUGCCCAUCAGAAGGGGAUAACACUUGGAAACACGUACUAAUACCGUAUACUGAUGGAUUGACCCGCGGUGCAUUAGCUAGUUGGUGAGGUAACGGCUCACCAAGGCCACGAUGCAUAGCGGAUCUGCGAGGGUGAGCGGACAAAUUGGGACUGAGACACGGCCCAAAAUCCUACGGGAGGCAGCAGUAGGGAAUCGUCGGCAAGGGACGCAAGUCUGACCGAGCAACGCCGCGUGAGUGAAGAAGGUUUCCGGAUCGUAAGACUCUGUUGUUAGAGAAGCGGUAUCUAACCAGAAAGCCACGGCUAACUACGUGCCAGCAGCCGCGGUAAUAC
rnacentral:rRNA from 1 species